UUCAUAUCUCGGCUAAAUGAAGUCCGAUUUGGGUGAGAUUCGCCUUUCUGUACACGCGAGAAUCUAUAGAAUAGAUUGGAAUAACAAAUUCUUGAUUUCAGAAACGAUACGAUUUUCGACCCAAUUCUGAUGUGUCACUCCUUGCCAUUUUUGUCGAUUUUGGUCAAAACUAAGAAUUGAAAUACUGGAAUUACAAUUGAUGGUCCUGGCUCUGGCGAGUUUAAUAAGAGGAAUAUGCGUACGGCUGUUUUCCUCCGUCUCUUAAUGGAAAUGUAUUAAAAUCUUGAUUGCCAUCUCACAUUUCACAUCCACUCUAAACUCCAAGCUGAUGGCAACAUUUCCAACUGUUUUUGCAGCAAAAACUUCACGGCCAACAGAGCGCGCCAUGUACGCAUUACAAGAGAGCGAGAGAGCGACAGCGAGAGAGUUAUAAAUAAACCGAUGGGGAAUAUGUAUUUCUAUGCGUACCUAUAUAUUAUUUGUGUGUGUGUGUGUGUGUGUGGGACGCAGCUUCUUAUGUUGUCGCUGUUUCCCUCACACCCACAAUGUGCAUAAUUGCAACUGAGACGCAUACAUUCAUACUUGUUGUUUUUGCCAUGGCAUUGAAAUUUUUCUAUGAAGUUGAUGCGGGCGCAGAAAGUUCAUCAACCUUUGACUUGGCGGCUAAGCGAUGCCUAAGCAGAAAAGCUCAUUCUCAGAUUGGUAAGUGUGUCUGGAAUAUUAUUUUGUAUACUUGCAUGACAUACAUACACACAUACAUAUAAACAUGCACACUUAUGCUAAAGAGAAUUUCUGAUGCGCAACAAGCUUUGAUGCAAGCCUGAGCCGCCCAUAAACUGGUUUUUAAUGUAGAUCAGCAAAAGAUAGUGAAGCAAAUAAAUUUGGGCGUAAGCACUU